GAACGCUGGCGGCGUGCUUAACACAUGCAAGUCGAACGGUGAAGCGCCUUCCUUUUUGGUGGGUGUGGAUGAGUGGCGAACGGGUGAGUAACACGUGAGUAACCUGCCCCCUUCUUCUGGAUAACCGCAUGAAAGUGUGGCUAAUACGGGAUAUUCUGGGUCUGUCGCAUGAUGGGUCUGGGAAAGAUUUUGUUUCGGUGGGGGAUGGGCUCGCGGCCUAUCAGCUUGUUGGUGGGGUGAUGGCCUACCAAGGCGGUGACGGGUAGCCGGCCUGAGAGGGUGGACGGUCACACUGGGACUGAGACACGGCCCAGACUCCUACGGGAGGCAGCAGUGAGGAAUAUUGCACAAUGGGCGCAAGCCUGAUGCAGCGACGCCGCGUGAGGGAUGGAGGCCUUCGGGUUGUGAACCUCUUUCGCCAGUGAAGCAGGCCUGCCUCGUUUGUGGGUGGGUUGACGGUAGCUGGAUAAGAAGCGCCGGCUAACUACGUG
rnacentral:rRNA from 1 species